rnacentral:rRNA from 1 species
UACGUGAGGUCGCAAGCGUUGUCCGGAUUUACUGGGCGUAAAGAGCGCGCAGGCGGCUGGUCAAGUCCGAUGUGAAAUCUCCCGGCUUAACUGGGAAACUGCAUCGGAAACUGAUCGGCUUGAAGGUGGGAGAGGGUAGUGGAAUUCCUGGUGUAGCGGUGAAAUGCGCAGAUAUCAGGAGGAACACCGAUGGCGAAGGCAGCUCGCUGGGACGGUACUGACGCUGAGGCGCGACAGCGUGGGGAGGCAAACAGG